rnacentral:rRNA from 1 species
GACGAACGCUGGCGGCGUGCCUAAUACAUGCAAGUAGAACGCACAGUUUAUACCGUAGCUUGCUACACCAUAGACUGUGAGUUGCGAACGGGUGAGUAACGCGUAGGUAACCUGCCUGGUAGCGGGGGAUAACUAUUGGAAACGAUAGCUAAUACCGCAUAAUAUUAAUUAUUGCAUGAUAAUUAAUUGAAAGGUGCAAUUGCACCACUACCAGAUGGACCUGCGUUGUAUUAGCUAGUAGGUGAGGUAACGGCUCACCUAGGCGACGAUACAUAGCCGACCUGAGGGGGUGAGCGGCCACACUGGGACUGAGGCACGGCCCAGACUCCUACGGGAGGCAGCAGGAGGGAAUCUUCGGCAAUGGACGAAAGUCUGACCGAGCAACGCCGGGGGAGUGAAGAAGGUUUUCGGAUCGUAAAGCUCUGUUGUAAGAGAAGAACGGGUGUGAGAGUGGAAAGUUCACACUGUGACGGUAUCUUACCAGAAAGGGACGGCUAACUACGUG